AGCUGGUCCAAAGACAGUGAGUUAUCUCAAUUUAUUGUUCACAGUCAGUUACAGAUCGAACUCCUUUUUGACUCCUUCCUCCCUUCUCGCUACUGCACUUGACUAGUCUUAA
rnacentral:Y_RNA from 1 species